CAGCCGCCGCGGUAACACGGAGGGAGCUAGCGUUGUUCGGAAUUACUGGGCGUAAAGCGCACGUAGGCGGUUAUUCAAGUCAGAGGUGAAAGCCCGGGGCUCAACCCCGGAACUGCCUUUGAAACUAGAUGACUAGAAUCUUGGAGAGGUCAGUGGAAUUCCGAGUGUAGAGGUGAAAUUCGUAGAUAUUCGGAAGAACACCAGUGGCGAAAGCGACUAACUGGACAAGUAUUGACGCUGAGGUGCGAAAGCGUGGGGAGCAAACAGGAUUAGAUACCCCUGUAGUCCCUGUCUCUUAUAC
rnacentral:rRNA from 1 species